GCCCGGCGGUCCGAUGGUGCGGCUCUGGGGGCGCGCAGGGCUGGGGGAGGCGCGGCCCCGCCCUCCGGCAGGAGAACAGGGCGCAGCCUCGCGUGCACGCAGUGACCCGCAGACUCAGCGCGACCCGAGAGAUGGAGGCGUGGCCCGCCCUUCCCCGGGGAGCCCAGGGCCCUGUGUCCGGUAGCAUCUCCGCGUCCUGGUGCAGCCGUGACUCCGAGGCCAGACUCGCAGCCAGAGAGGCGAUCGGGGCGGCAGCGGCGUGGGGGAGCCGUGUCUGUGGAAAAAGACAGAUGCGACUGGACGCAUCUCCGCGCGGCUGGCAGGCCCUUCCCGGCUCCUGGAAUGUGACUGGCUGAAUUGUGACUGGCCGACUUCCUCCUCCUGCGGUUGGGUUUGUAAUAACACAGACUACGACUCUAGUUUUGCCAAAGUGGAAAAAAAAAAAA